AUCCGCGGCCGGUAAAACGCACAGCGAGGUGAGAGGCGCACGCAGCGGCUGACAACUUUCUCCGCGCGUCCCGAGCCAGGCACAGAUCCGGGGACUCGCUGCGAGCUAGGGGAAGGGGGCGCAUGUGGUCAAAGGAUGGUGCACCACACCAGCCUCUCCCUGAGACCGUGUGUCCUAGGAAAGUUAACGUGGCGCUGGGCCUCAGUUUCCCCACCCAAGCAGAGAAAGAAGAGCCGGACCUGUGUCCAGCGGCGGCAAGGUGGCAGCCGAAGAGACGACGCUCGAUGCCAGGCUGAGCGGCCGGUUCGGUUCCAGAGCCUGGGAGGCAUUCCCCAGCUCUGGAAGGGACAAGAGAGGAAAGAUGUCCUUCCACUAGAAGACGGAAGAGGGAGGGUCCUAGACCGAUUUCCCCCCCCCCCCUCCCCGGGAAGGAGCCUUUAAGAGGACCCGUGGGAAUCGUGGAAAUGUAGGGCUAGAGAAGAGAAAUGGAGGGAUUCUGAGCCUGGAAUGCCUGCCCGAGGAGAAUGGUGCCACUCACCUAACCCGGUCCCUCACAGACAUGCCCACACAGUUGCUUCCCUGCCAGGUCAUGUCCUUGGAGGCCAAGCAAGGACACAGCAAGUAAUACCUGAACAGAAACCCAGUUGGAGACAGGAAUGUGGACACUGGCUACAGGGACUCUUCCAGUCUAGUACCCAGCACUGCAGUGAACCACUCCUAGACCAAGUGUGGAAUCCAUCCUGAACAUCGAAGACAGAGGAGAGGGGAGAUGUGGGAAGCAGAGGAAACGCUGAGUGAAUGAAACCCCAAGUGAAUGUGUCACGGACCCCAGAGCCCCAGACCCACGGGAAACGGCAAAGCUUUCCGGGGUGAGGCUCAGCAGGAAUUGGCAAAUACUUCCUCUAGUCCAUGUGUGAACGUGGAUAGUAUGUGCAGAAAGUGUCCACCACAACUUUCUCUCCUUGCCUCCAAAUCUGGGGCCUGAAACUGCUUCCCAAUAAACAUGGCUCCUACUG